rnacentral:rRNA from 1 species
UGAUGACGCAACGCCGCGUGGGGGAUGAAGGCCUUAGGGUUGUAAACCCCUUUCAGCGGGGAAGAUAAUGACGGUACCCGCAGAAGAAGUCCCGGCUAACUCCGUGCCAGCAGCCGCGGUAAUACGGAGGGGACUAGCGUUGUUCGGAAUUACUGGGCGUAAAGCGCGCGUAGGCGGAUUUGUAAGUCGGGGGUGAAAGCCCGAGGCUCAACCUCGGAACUGCCUUCGAUACUGCAAAUCUGGAGUCCGAGAGAGGUGAGUGGAAUUCCUAGUGUAGAGGUGAAAUUCGUAGAUAUUAGGAAGAACACCAGUGGCGAAGGCGGCUCACUGGCUCGGUACUGACGCUGAGGCGCGAAAGCGUGGGGAGCAAACAGGAUUAGAUACCCUGGUAGUCCACGCCGUAAACUAUGGGUGCUAGCCGUCGGUCGGCAUGCCGGUCGGUGGCGCAGCAAACGCAUUAAGCACCCCGCCUGGGGAGUACGGUCGCAAGAUUAAAACUCAAAGAAAUUGACGGGGCCCGCACAAGCGGUGGAGCAUGUGGU